AACGUGACGCUCUUAACUUGAUGCUGUUGACGUGGUCGGGACUCUGUUCACGUGACUGUUGUUGACAUGACGCUUAUAACUGCGCUGUGGCGGGACAUGACAGCUCACAGCUCCUCAGAAGCUCCGUGAGCUGUCCAGUGAGGGGAUGGUUUCAUGAUCAAAUCUUCAUUUACCGUCCACAUUAUCAGAUGAGGACGUCACCAAAGAGUGUCCUUUGAGUCGAUGUUUACAUUUAUGUACAGAUAAUUAAGAACAUUUAGUUUAUCGUAAAAUGCUUAUUAUUUUCUCCUGCCACCUUUCAGACAUUGUCAUCCAAUUUGGAUGGAACAACUUCGUGACCUUAAUGACACCCAGCAACACGAGACGCACACAAGCACCACAGGGGAGGAUCUGCAGCAAAGGGCCCACCGGAAAUCAAACCUUGGCCGCUAUGAUGACGACAACAUGGGGCACUUGAGUGUGUGACUACGACUACCAGCAUGAACCUCAACACCUUCUUUGCUGUUCCACUAGUGUGACCCAUGAUCGGAUACAAGUUGUCAAGGAUAAACGGUGAGAGAAUCAUGUCAGCCCACAGACAACCGAUUGACCUGUGAGUCUUCAAGCAGUAAUGAUGACUACGCCUGCCUUAAGUUCCAGUUUCCUGAACAGCAUGGCAUGUCUGCAGGAGAUUCGGUCCCCACCUGUCUUCAGUCUGGACCUAAUGACUCAGACACCAGUCUUGUCAAGGCUAAAUCGAGAGAGGAUCACCUGAUGUCAACAUAUGAGUUUUCAAGAAGAACUUCCUGAACUUUGUGUCUGUGAGACUCUACCAUGCUGGGUGCCCUCUUCAGUCAAGUCUGGACACAGUGACUCAUUGCUCUUCAUCAACUCUGGGCAAGUGGCUAAUCUUUUGCUUAUUCAUGGGAUAUCCUUCAUGUCCACAUCCUGUUUCUUCAAGAUCUCAACAAUGCUUUGUGAGUAUACAACACAUGUGAGUGGAUCAGUUCAACCUGUUUUUCACAGAAUGUUAGUUUCUUAAGGUUUUCAUCAACGAUGGUUUGUAUCUUGUUUUCCAAAAGGUGUUAUUAAGAUAUUUACAUUUGUAAUUUACAAUAAUCAAAUGUUGACUGUAAAAUCUAUGCCAACCUAUUGUUAUACACUGCACCAUGUUUUUGCAAAGGAAUUCUGGUGACUUUAGUUGCCAGCAACUUCCUUUGAACUUUGUAAUAAAAUACCGUAACUGUAAUAAAGUUUACAGUAUAACUGUUGUUUUUACAAAACUUACUGUCAUGUCUUGUAUGUUCACCGUUAAUUGGAACUUUUCAAUAAAGUACCAUAAUAUAUUA